UGAUUCUAGUUUCCAUUGGUUUCCUAUCUUAACCCUUUAAAGGCCACAUGGUGUGCAUAAGCUGUGCUUUACAGUAUAUCGGUGGGGCCCGUGAGUUUUUCCCUAACAAGUAUUCGUGGUAAAAAACAAAAAAUAACAAAGAAACAUUACCGAUAGAGUUGAAGCAGAAUCUGCUUUAAUGCUGGUGACGCCCUCUCGAAACACGCCAUAUUUUGCUAUCUUCCUGAUUUUCUUGUAAUAUGUAAAUAUAGAUGUUAUGAGACAAAUGCAGGUAUGAAAACUGGGCAUUGCAACAACUUUUAUUUUACAGUUGAGUGAAACUGAAGUCGUUUGUUGCAAUCAUUUUUGGUCAACUUUUAAGCAAUAUGUGUCUUUCUAUUUGUACCUAUCUUUAGUGCACUACCCAUAGGGUGUUGGGGUGGGUGGUGGGUACAUAUCCAACAACUAAUGGAACUGUCACCAUUGUGAUGCAUACAUUUUUCACUAUGCUACAUGAUGAUUUGGCGAUCGCGUAUUGGUUAAAAUAAAUAAUGUAUCUGAACGCGUUUUCUGCAGAUCAAAGUAGAUCUAUUUGCUUGGUCCUAAAACGGGACAGGUUUUAUUGUCUGGGCUGGUGAGUAUGGAGGUGGUUCUUCAUUUGGUGAUGAACCAACACGUAAGCGGCUACGUCAUCGGGGGCAUCACCUCACCCAACUGAUGGGCCUGGGGUGUGGGUGAUGUGCCUCCCCCUUUAAUAUUCACAUCACAGCGUCAAACACACAGCCUCGUCUCCUUCGUCUCUUGGCCGACGAAACCGACGUGCCUGGCCCCUAGGGGGCGGUGUUGACGGGCCUCGACAACUAGGGGACGGCCCCCAUACCCACCAGCCUCAUUACCGAAACUAUCCU
rnacentral:lncRNA from 1 species